GACGAACGCUGGCGGCGUGCUUAACACAUGCAAGUCGAACGCUGAACCCGCUUCGGUGGGGGAUGAGUGGCGAACGGGUGAGUAACACGUGGGCAACCUGCCCCCGGCUCUGGGAUAACUCCAAGAAAUUGGGGCUAAUACCGGAUGUGACCGCUGGCCGCAUGGUCUGGUGGUGGAAAGGGUUUCCGGCUGGGGAUGGGCCCGCGGCCUAUCAGCUUGUUGGUGGGGUAGUGGCCUACCAAGGCGACGACGGGUAGCCGGCCUGAGAGGGCGACCGGCCACACUGGGACUGAGACACGGCCCAGACUCCUACGGGAGGCAGCAGUGGGGAAUAUUGCGCAAUGGGCGGAAGCCUGACGCAGCGACGCCGCGUGGGGGAUGACGGCCUUCGGGUUGUAAACCUCUUUCAGCAGGGACGAAGCGCAAGUGACGGUACCUGCAGAAGAAGCACCGGCCAACUACGUG
rnacentral:rRNA from 1 species